AUGACGUUAUAUCAGGGGAAGAAUAAAGAGGAAGAGGAUAAGGAAGAAAAGAAUGAUGGAUAGAGAGAGAAAAGAAAAACUACAUUUCCCACAAUACUAUGCGCGUCGGCGUAGUCCCUGAACCAAUCAGCGUGCAGGAGCUGCACACAUAAGAGGAAAGACCGCCUUCUUUCUUCCUCUUUCUCUGUGUGUGUGCUGAGCUAGUCACGUUGAGUCAUGUUCAGAGAGCCUGAUGCCAUGGAGAUGAAAAUGACCUGCUCACUGCUGAGUGCAGUCGGAUGAAAGUCAGACAAGCUGAUCAUGAAGCUGUGUUUGAAAAACAGAUGAGGGCGAGGGGGAAAUCUUGCCUAGAAGUAGACAAGAUGAUCCUGGAGUCCAAAUAAAGAGGUGGUGAAUAAACCGUCUGACAUGGGGCUUCCACUUUGAGAAGGAUGAAGCCUGAUUUGUGACGCGAGACCAUAAGGCACCCAACACCACAGGAUAAAAUCCAAGGAGGAGCACACCGAAGCUGGAGUGAUGCAAGACCAGUCAAAUCUCUAAAUCGCCUUACUAGCUGAAAAAGUUUGUUACAUGAUGAAAUAAUUGGCAAGACGAAGUUCAUGGAAAGCCUGUGAUCUUUAAUCAGAAUGGAAAGUGAGACUAUAGGGGUGCAUAUUGUCCCUGUGUAACUCCUUUUAACUAAUAAAACUUUGAUAAACCAA